UAAUUAAGAGUUUCACUCAAAAUCUUUAUAUAGCCAGAUAGGCAAUCCAGUCAUCUUCUUCCAAUCAAUGCCGUUAAUGACCUAGACGUAAAUAAAAAUCGCUUCUUAACAAGCAAUUUCAGUAUAACGAAAUGUAAUGAUUAUCUAUAUAUAUAUAUUUUUUUUUUUUUUUUUUUUUUUUUUUUGGUAAUUAAAGAAAUUUUAUUUACCAAAUAGCAAAUAUGUACAAAAACAGUACUGCUAGCUUCAUUAACACCAUCCCUAUCAACCUAUACAUCAAUUAAGGGUAGAAAUUCAGCCUAUCUAACACUUUAGCUGUUGCAACUUGUUUGCUUCCUCUACCAUGAACUUCUUGAAUGAUCAAUCUAGUAAUCUCAGCUGGUCCUCUAGUCCUCUUCUGAAAUAUCCUCCAAUUCCGUUCCUGCCAUAUAUGAUAAACACUGCAAGCCGACGCAAUUUUGUACACUUCAACUGCUCCACUUCUGUCCUUGGCAUGACUUAUUGCCCAUUGAACUUCCUGCUGCCAGGUUUUAAUGUUCUCCCAAUUCAAAUGCUACCCGACGCUGUAAUACCAGCUUGAUGCGGUACAACAGGUAAUUUCUUUCUUUUGCCUUCUGCAGCACCAUCAUCUGUAUAGAUAAAAUGUUGGGCCAUUUUGAUUUGUUUAACCCUCUUUGUUUUGUAAUACGUUGGCGAUCAUCAACUUCUAUUUGCAAGGAGGAUGUGCAGAUAUGUCCAUUCGUCCUUCAAAAUCAUUCAAGGCAUGAGAAGAAUUAUCUGGUGAAAACAUCCUGCAGAUCAACUUCUUACUGCACCCAAUCAACUUUCAAUCCAGCAAUAGGAUAUUAUUGUUGCUAUCCUGUCAACAGAGCUCUUAUCAAGUAAAAAGUAGUGAUUGUAUGUUGAAAAAUCAGAACAUAAAACGUUUUCUUACAAGCUCCGGAUCAGCAUCCACGGAAGCCAUGUGCACAAAAUGAGAACCGGGAAUACUGUAAUUGACCGUGGAAGUUGGUUUGCUAUGAGAAGAUAUCUAAUUUUUAUACAGCAUGGUCAAAUUGUUCAAGAAAGGUUCACGAGCUAGCUUUCUGGAAAAAGAAGUGGGGAGUUCAUCCAGCCAAUGAGUUUAAGGGAUUUAGAGACUGCAGUAAAUUUGCAGGGAAGCAGAAGAGAGGCACAACUACUUGGUCUGUACCGUUUGUGCAUAGCUUAGAUAUUGGUGAAGUCCGAAAAUUUCAAUCUGUCCACCAUGCAUCCUUGGUAGCAGUUGAAUUUAGUUUUUGAUAAAACUGUGCAUCUUUGAUAGCAGUUGAAUUUAGUUUUUGAGAAUAUUGAAACUUGCGUAGAGACACAAAUGAUUGUACUUUCAUUAAGUGAUAUUUGAUUAUAAUACUUAUCUGUGAUCUUAGAU